GAGGGAGUGGCUCAGUGGCAGAGCACGUGCUCAGCAUGCAUGAGGUCCUGGGUUCAGUCCCAGUCCCUCC
rnacentral:tRNA from 1 species